rnacentral:rRNA from 1 species
GUUGUCGUCAGCUCGUGUCGUGAGAUGUUGGGUUAAGUCCCGUAACGAGCGCAACCCUUGUCCUUAGUUACCAGCACGUUAUGGUGGGCACUCUAAGGAGACUGCCGGUGACAAACCGGAGGAAGGUGGGGAUGACGUCAAGUCAUCAUGGCCCUUACGGCCUGGGCUACACACGUGCUACAAUGGUCGGUACAAAGGGUUGCCAAGCCGCGAGGUGGAGCUAAUCCCAUAAAACCGAUCGUAGUCCGGAUCGCAGUCUGCAACUCGACUGCGUGAAGUCGGAAUCGCUAGUAAUCGUGAAUCAGAAUGUCACGGUGAAUACGUUCCCGGGCCUU